rnacentral:rRNA from 1 species
UACGUAGGGGGCUAGCGUUGUCCGGAAUCAUUGGGCGUAAAGAGCGCGUAGGCGGCCAGAUAAGUCCGGUGUGAAAGUCACAGGCUCAACCUGUGAAUGCCGCUGGAAACUGUCUGGCUAGAGUCCGGAAGGGGCGAGUGGAAUUCCUGGUGUAGCGGUGAAAUGCGCAGAUAUCAAGUGGAACACCAGUGGCGAAGGCGAAUCCCUGGAAAAUACCUGACACUGAGGCACGAAAGCUAGGGGAGCAAACAGG